GGCCAUAGGUGUUAAGAGUAUCCAGUACAGGGUUAUGCAGAUUUAAAAAGUCGACGUUUAAAUCUCCUGUCAAAAUCCUAAUAUCAAAAUAAAGAAAAAGCGUUUAUUAUAUGUUCCAAGUCGACCAAUAUAUUAUUAAUAUUUAAGCGUGGAGGGCGAUAGAAACCUCCUACAAUAAUUUUCAUGAAAUCUAUAAGAUUCCAAGUGACACCACGGCAAGAACAAGAAGGAGCCACCCGAUGCAGCUGAAGCCCCAAAUACACGCAGUCAAUCGUCUAUCCCCAGGGUUUUUACAACAGCCAAGAACCGGCAAGAAAUCGUAUUAAACAAUGUAUAUAAAAAUCAAAAAUAAAUUCUAUGUUUAUACGAAAACGAAAAGACCCAAAUGUUAAAGCGUGUUAGUACUUCAUACUUCCAUAAACAGGACAAAAGUUGGUUUAAACAACAAAUAAAAUGUAAAAUUAUAAAGCCCAUUUUCUUAUAACCACGUAUUGAAUUGACUUGUUGAUAAAAUAGAAUAAAAUGCUUGUGUCUCUUUUCUUUAAAUAAACAGUAAAAUAGGCAAUAAUAAUAUAA